UGGUUCUGGCAUCGAUGAAGAACGCAGCAAAAUGCGAUAAGUAGUGUGAAUUAUAGAAUUUAGUGAAUCAUCAAAUCUUUAAACGCACAUUGCGCCCCUUGGUAUUCUAUAGGGCAUGCCUGUUCAAGCGUUAUUUACCUCCCUCCAGCAUUGCUUAGUGUUGGGCGCCUGUCUAAGUGUCUUUUCGCGUGGACUCGCCUUAAAGGCAUUAGCAGCGGUUCAUCUAGGACUCCUAAUCGCGCAGCACUGUUCGCGCUUUCUAGAGCCUACGUGGAUUUGGCGUCUAUAAGACCUUAAUCAUCUGAAUUUAACCUCAGAUUAGGUAGGGAUACCCGCUGA
rnacentral:misc_RNA from 1 species